rnacentral:rRNA from 1 species
CACGUAGGGGGCAAGCGUUGUUCGGAAUUAUUGGGCGUAAAGGGCAUGUAGGCGGUUUCGUAAGCCUGGUGUGAAAUCCUGCAGCUUAACUGCAGAAUUGCAUUGGGUACUGCGAGACUUGAAUCACAGAGGGGAAACUAGAAUUCCAGGUGUAGGGGUGGAAUCUGUAGAUAUCUGGAAGAAUACCGGUGGCGAAGGCGGGUUUCUAGCUGAUGAUUGACGCUGAGGUGCGAAAGUGCGGGGAGCAAACAGG